CCUGCCCUACGGGGCGCAGCAGUGGGGGAUAUUGCACAAUGGGGGGAACCCUGAUGCAGCGACGCCGCGUGGGCGAUGGAGUGCUUCGGCAUGUAAAGCCCUAUCAGCAGGGAAGAAAAUGACGGUACCUGACUAAGAAGCCCCGGCUAAAUACGUGCCAGCAGCCGCGGUAAUACGUACGGGGCAAGCGUUAUCCGGAUUUACUGGGUGUAAAGGGAGCGUAGGCGGCUUGGCAAGCCUGAUGUGAAAUACCGGGGCCUAACCCCGGGGCUGCAUUGGGAACUGCAAGGCUGGAGGGCCGGGGG
rnacentral:rRNA from 1 species